CCCUUAGAUGUUCUGGGCUGCACGCGCGCUACACUGACAUGUCCAGCGAGCUCCCAACCUGCUCGGCAAAGAAUGGGUACCCUUUUAACGCAUGUCGUGAUGGGGAUAGAUUAUUGCAAUUGUUGAUCUUGAACGAGGAAUUCCUAGUAAGUGCAAGUCAUUAGCUUGUGCUGAAUACGUCCCCGCCCUUUGUACACACCGCCCGUCGCUCCUACCGAUUGAGUGCUCCGGUGAAUACUUCGGACUGCGAGGUUUGCAGUUUCUGCACUCCUUGCGGAAAGUUGAAUAAACCUUAACAUUUAGAGGAAGGAGAAGUCGUAACA
rnacentral:rRNA from 1 species